rnacentral:rRNA from 1 species
GACGAACGCUGGCGGCGUGCUUAACACAUGCCAGUCGAACGGAAAGGCCCUGCUUUUGUGGGGUGCUCGAGUGGCGAACGGGUGAGUAACACGUGAGUAACCUGCCCUUGACUUUGGGAUAACUUCAGGAAACUGGGGCUAAUACCGGAUAGGAGCUCCUGCUGCAUGGUGGGGGUUGGAAAGUUUCGGCGGUUGGGGAUGGACUCGCGGCUUAUCAGCUUGUUGGUGGGGUAGUGGCUUACCAAGGCUUUGACGGGUAGCCGGCCUGGGAGGGUGACCGGCCACAUUGGGACUGAGAUACGGCCCAGACGCCAACGGGAGGCAGCAGUGGGGAAUAUUACACAAUGGGCGGAAGCCUGAGGCAGCAACGCCGCGUGCGGGAUGACGGCCUUCGGGUCGUAAACCGCUUUCGCCUGUGACGAAGCGUGAGUGACGGUAAUGGGUAAAGAAGUACCGGCUAACUACGUG